CAAACUCUCACCUGAGUUUUGGCCUGCUAAAAUUUACAGCUGAAUACCCGGUGAUGGGCGGAAGAUUGGCCUACUGGCUCCCCGGAGCAAACCAGAUUGAUUUCAUAGGUGGAUUUGACUCUUACGGCUAUCAAGGCCCACAGAAGACGUCACAUUUACAGCUACAACCAAUGUAUAUGUCUAAGUAGACACAAACUAAAUCUGUCCUGGGGAUGAAAGACUGGACAAAGAUCUACUUCUUGCACAGCCUCCUACAGGUUGCAGAAGAAUGAAAGAAGACUUAACUUUUCUGUUUCAAUAUAUAAUAGAACACUCAGAGACAAGGGCCUCUCUGUCUAGCUAGUGCUGGCAGAAAUGCACAAGAUCCAGUCACUCCCAACUUUGAUUUUCCAAGUUUUUGCACAGAAGGUUUUAAAAAAAAAAACAGUGAUGCCAUCUCCUGGCCACUAUCUACCUUCUGCCUUUUUUUUUUGCACUUGCCUCUGAUUUAUGAAACAAUCUCAUCUGUUUUAGCUAUUUGAGGCUCUUUUGUACUCUGUCUGGAGCCAUGUCUUCUUAGUCCAUACAGAUUAAAGAUCUUUAGAUAAUGCUGAAGCUGAAGUCAGUAGACAGGAAGUUGUUUGCCCUAAAGGCUGUUUAAUAUAUGCUUGCCUUAACCCAUACUAAGUCACAUACUGAGAACUUUGAUGAGAGCUCUCUGAAAUCACUUCCUUUAGGAUCAACCAUACUGUUCAUGAAUUCUAAACAAAAAUUAUAAAGCUGUGUCAGGUAAUAAACUACGCUCCCACCAUUCCGGAGAUGUCUGUAUUAAAAAAAAAUCUUGUCAGAAAAAAAAGUGCAUUAUGGUUAAGCUUCCAGAAUACCUAGUUUCAAAUUACUUCAAUGUAUUUUAAAAGAACUGGACACUUUGGGAGCUGGGGAAUGCCAGGAAAAGGAACUUUGACUAAACAAUAACUAAAGAAAGUGCAAACUCAGUGCUCCUUUUAGUGAAUGCACUCUAGGUGCUUUUAUAAAUGAUUCUAACCUAUGUCUUUUACUAAUAACAGAGAUAUAUGCCUAUUUCUAUUGACAGAGGCCAACUGCAUAAGUAUUAACAAUGUUUACUCUUUUAUAACUAAUUCCAGUUGAAAACCUUACGUAAGUGAGCUUUUUAAAAAAAACACUGAAAACCUGCAGCAUAUAAGAUCUUUCUGGAUUCUGUUCUUUUUUGUUUUUACGUUGGGGUGGGAGUAGUUGCAUUGGUGAGAUUUUUGAAAACCUUUUUUUGUGGUACUGGGGAAACUGUUGUGUGUUAGAAUGUGUAACUUAUCUUCCUGUAUUUUUGUGGCUAAAAAAAACCUGUGCUGUUAUGUAGUUGGCAACAAGAUGCCUUUGAAAACUUUACUAGUAGGUCAAUGUCUAUGAAAUACUCUUUGACUCCUAGAAGCGUCUGUAUUCUGAAUUUGAGCUGUAUAUUCAACUACUGCAGUGGUUUUUCUUUGGGAAGAGUUAUAUUGCUCAGGCUUUUUUUUUACUUGAAUUGCCCUAAUUUAUUUAUUUAAAACCUACAAAUACAUCAUUAGGCACUUGCUGGGUUAGGGUCUUCUUAGCCCACUGCAGCUUCUUCAAAUAACUUUUGUCUGCACUUGCCAAAUGUUUCAAUUCUAUAUGGCCUAGAUAGCCACCAUCCACUAUAGUAAUUCUCAGUACAAGUACCCUAGAAAUAAGACAGUUCAUCUUUUACCCAUUACCACCAGUGUAUACGUACCAUACUUACCAGUGUAUUUACAAAAAUGCCACCUGAAUGACAAUAGAACAGGUAUUUCUAACAGAAACAAAAACUAAUUGGUUCCAGCAAUAAAUGUCACAUCAGUAACAGAGAUAUGAGUGGAACACCACAUUGAUCUAUAAUACAAUAAUGAAAUGUAUAUAAAAUAGUACUUGAAAAUUCCCCAAAAAUAUAGAGCUUAUAAUUAAGCCUCUGUCUGGUUAUAUCAACACCAGUAGUAGUAAUGAUAGUAUAUGUACUGUUGCUUUAGUUAAGCUUCUAAAGAUGCUUUCAGUUUUAAUGGUUGUUUGCAAUUUAAUUAUAUUUGGUCACCAUCAAGAGGCACAACUCUUGUAGACCUGAAAUUUACUUAUUACCAGUGAAAUUAGUCUGGAGUAUAUGAUAUAUGGAUUGUCUCCCCAAACUUGUUUUUUACAUUUAUUAUCCUUAAUAUCAAUGAAAAAAUGGGAUGACUCUGCAGUAAACAGCAUAAAGUCAAGACAAAUGUAUAGGUUUACAUUCAAAUCAUUAAAGCAGCAGGUUUGAUGAAAUGUUCUCUCACUGACAUUGUGCACCCGAUAAAAUAGGACAAAGUAUUUUUAAAAGUAGAUUUGUAGAUUCUAAAUCAGAAGUUUAGACAUCUUAAAAUGCUAACUGUCCUGUAUCUCAAAGUCUUAUUAAGAAGAAAUAAGGAUCCAUUGCAUAAUUUAUGCACUAGUUCACUUUCACUGAACACUUUAUAACUUAAUUCUUUUAAUAUUACAAUUAGGUACAUAGUUUUGCCCUAUAAUAUAACUGGGGGGCAAUGGGUAACCAGUUUUGCAUCAUUUUGAAGAGAAUUGCAUGUUUGUGAAGUCACCAGCAGUUCAAUUCUAUUCAAAAGAGACAUUACAAUUUAUGAUAAUAAAUAAACAAAAGCAUACAGUACAUCAUACAUGCUGGGGACCAAUUAAAUUGUGCUUACUGUCAUUCCCCUGAGCAAAUCCCAUGUGAUUCUUCUAGUUUAGAAUUAUUGAGCUCAAACUAAGCACAUUUCACCAAUUCCUGCUUUGUGCCACAUUCUAAAUUAAGGCAUUCCUGUACUUCUACAUCAAAUGUUUACUUUGAUACAGUUAAGGAAAGAGUCAUUUUUCUGUUACUUAAUAUAAUAACAAUAUAGAUAUAUCAUGGUUUAUGUAUCUCUCUCCCUCUCUCUCU